rnacentral:rRNA from 1 species
GACGAACGCUGGCGGCGUGCUUAACACAUGCAAGUCGAACGGUGAAGCCGGAGCUUGCUCUGGUGAAUUAGUGGCGAACGGGUGAGUAACACGUGAGUAACCUGCCCUUGACUCUGGGAUAACUGCUAGAAAUGGUAGCUAAUACCGGAUACGACCCUCGGAGGCAUCUUCAGGGGGUGGAAAGAAUUUCGGUCAAGGAUGGAAUCGCGGCCUAUCAGCUAGUUGGUGAGGUAAUGGCUCACCAAGGCGAGGACGGGUAGCCGGCCUGAGAGGGUGACCGGCCACACUGGGACUGAGACACGGCCCAGACUCCUACGGGAGGCAGCAGUGGGGAAUAUUGCACAAUGGGCGCAAGCCUGAUGCAGCAACGCCGCGUGAGGGAUGACGGCCUUCGGGUUGUAAACCUCUUUUAGUAGGGAAGAAGCGAAAGUGACGGUACCUGCAGAAAAAGCACCGGCUAACUACGUGCCAGCCGCCGCCGUAA